rnacentral:ncRNA from 1 species
GUCAAUAACCCCCGCCUCAAGGCGGAGGCUUGAAAAAGCCUUUAUUGACUAGUCUCAGCAAACCUCCUCGGGGAGGCGAGCUACGUUGGUUUGGAAUGUACAGGCACCGUGGGAUGUUCAUCCACCAGACGCCAUUCCUUGUCAAAGGCUUUCGCCUAUUCGACAAGGUGAAGUGUAAGGGAAGAAUUGGGUUCAUUU